AAUGAACGCUGGCGGCGCGCCUAAUACAUGCAAGUCGAGCGAGAAGACGUAGCAAUACGUUUGUAAAGCGGCGAACGGGUGAGGAAUACAUGGGUAACCUACCCUAGAGUGGGGAAUAACUAGCCGAAAGGUUAGCUAAUACCGCGUACGCUCCUUGGACUUCGGUUCAGGGAGGAAAGCGAUGCCGAGGGUAUCGCGCUCUUGGAUGGGCUCAUGUCCUAUCAGCUUGGGUGAGGUAACGGCUCACCAAGGCUUCGACGGGUAGCUGGUCUGAGAGGACGAUCAGCCACACUGGCACUGCGACACGGGCCAGACUCCUACGGGAGGCAGCAGUAAGGAAUAUUGCGCAAUGGGCGAAAGCCUGACGCAGCGACGCCGCGUGGGGGAUGAAGGUCUUCGGAUUGUAGACCCCUUUCGGGAGGGAAGA
rnacentral:rRNA from 1 species